CACGUGAGUAAUCUGCCCUUAGCUCUGGGAUAGCUCCGGGAAACCGGGAUUAAUACCAGAUACGACCACUUUAGACAUCUUUUGUGGUGGAAAGAAUUUCGGCUAGGGAUGAGCUCGCGGCCUAUCAGCUUGUUGGUGGGGUAACGGCCUACCAAGGCGACGACGGGUAGCCGGCCUGAGAGGGCGACCGGCCACACUGGGACUGAGACACGGCCCAGACUCCUACGGGAGGCAGCAGUGGGGAAUAUUGCGCAAUGGGCGAAAGCCUGACGCAGCGACGCCGCGUGGGGGAUGAAGGCC
rnacentral:rRNA from 1 species